AAACUCAAUACAUGUCUUUUAUUGUGAGGUAAUAAUUUCUCAGAGUUUUGCGGUUGCGGGCGGGAGUAGACAUGCACACAGCGGGUGCGGGAGUGUUACACACACGUUGCGGUUGCAGGCGGUAAUGGUCAGAAAUUCAGCGGGAGCGGGCAGGAGCGGUAUAUUUAAUAAAGAUAAUUAAGAAAGUGACACAACAUGAAAAUGUACUCUGUUGUGAACACAGAUGACUUAAUGAGGCGAGGAGGAAGCUCCCUCUUGCUGAGGAGCAGACAGACCUCCAGUCUGAGGCGGAAGCCAUUGAAAGGCCUCAAAGAAGAAUUAAGCCAAGCAUAUGUCCAGGACCGGGCCUCAUCAGAGGAUGAAGCCCAGACCCCUGGAAGAGGGCUUCCCCCACCCCCAGCCAUCCCCCCAGUGAGGAGAAGGUUCAUCCUCCCCAAUAACCUGUACCUCUGCCUGACCUGACCAAUUACCAGCAUGUCAUGACCCUGGGGACAUCAUUGCGGCAGGCCAUUGACCUGCAGGGUCACCAGGGAACCCAGGGGGUUCCAGUUCCAACUCCCUCUUCAUCUGGUGGGAUGAUGAGGGAGGAAUCGGCUGUCCAGGUGCCUACAGUUUGCCCUAGCUCCUCUCCAGGGCAGUGGCAGCAGAGGGACGACA